rnacentral:rRNA from 1 species
AGAAGAAGCACCGGCCAACUACGUGCCAGCAGCGCGGUAAUACGUAGGGUGCGAGCGUGUCCGGAAUUAUUGGGCGUAAAGGGCUCGUAGGCGGUUGUCGCGUCGGGAGUGAAAACGCCGUGCUUAACACGGCGCUUGCUUCCGAUACGGGCAGACUAGAGGUAUUCAGGGGAGAACGGAAUUCCUGGUGUAGCGGUGAAAUGCGCAGAUAUCAGGAGGAACACCGGUGGCGAAGGCGGUUCUCUGGGAAUGACCUGACGCUGAGGAGCGAAAGUGUGGGGAGCGAACAGGAUUAGAUACCCUGGUAGUCCACACCGUAAACGUUGGGCGCUAGGUGUGGGGUCCAUUCCACGGAUUCCGUGCCGCAGCUAACGCAUUAAGCGCCCCGCCUGGGGAGUACGGCCGCAAGGCUAAAACUCAAAGGAAUUGACGGGGGCCCGCACAAGCGGCGGAGCAUGCGGAUUAAUUCGAUGCAACGCGAAGAACCUUACCUGGGUUUGACAUACACCCUGCCGCCUCAGAGAUGGGGCUUCUUUUGGGGGUGUACAGGUGGUGCAUGGCUGUCGUCAGCUCGUGUCGUGAGAUGUUGGGUUAAGUCCCGCAACGAGCGCAACCCUCGUUCUAUGUUGCCAGCACGUAAUGGUGGGGACUCAUAGGAGACUGCCGGGGUCAACUCGGAGGAAGGUGGGGAUGACGUCAAGUCAUCAUGCCCCUUAUGUCCAGGGCUUCACGCAUGCUACAAUGGCCGGUACAAAGGGCUGCGAUCCCGUAAGGGGGAGCGAAUCCCAAAAAGCCGGUCUCAGUUCGGAUUGGGGUCUGCAACUCGACCCCAUGAAGUCGGAGUCGCUAGUAAUCGCAGAUCAGCAACGCUGCGGUGAAUACGUUCCCGGGCCUUGUACACACCGCCCGUCACGUCACGAAAGUCGGCAACACCCGAAGCCGGUGGCCCAACCCUUGUGGAGGGAGCCGUCGAAGGUGGGGCUGGA